rnacentral:rRNA from 1 species
GCCCAGACUCCUACGGGAGGCAGCAGUAGGGAAUCUUCCACAAUGGACGAAAGUCUGAUGGAGCAACGCCGCGUGAGCGAUGAAGGCCUUCGGGUCGUAAAGCUCUGUUGUUAGGGAAGAACAAGUAUCGGAGUAACUGCCGGUACCUUGACGGUACCUAACCAGAAAGCCACGGCUAACUACG